rnacentral:rRNA from 1 species
GACAGAGGGGGCAAGCGUUGCUCGGAAUCACUGGGCGUAAAGGGCGCGUAGGCGGGAUGGCAAGUCAGUCGUGAAAUCUCUCGGCUCAACCGAGAAACGUCGGCUGAUACUGCCGUUCUUGAGGGAUGCAGAGGAGACUGGAAUUCCCGGUGUAGCGGUGAAAUGUGUAGAGAUCGGGAGGAACACCAGUGGCGAAGGCGACUCUUUGGUCUGUAACUGACGCUGAGGCGCGAAAGCGUGGGGAGCAAACAGG